rnacentral:rRNA from 1 species
UACAGGGGGUGCAAACGUUGCUCGGAAUCAUUGGGCGUAAAGCGCACGUAGGCGGUUCGUUAUGUCGGAUGUGAAAGCCCUUGGCUUAACCGAGGAAGUGCAUCCGAAACUGGCGAGCUAGAGUACGAAAGAGGAUCGCGGAAUUCCCGGUGUAGAGGUGAAAUUCGUAGAUAUUGGGAAGAACACCGGUGGCGAAGGCGGCUCACUGGACCGAUACUGACGCUGAGGCGCGAAAGCGUGGGGAGCAAACAGG